rnacentral:rRNA from 1 species
AUGAACGCUGGCGGCGUGCCUAAUACAUGCAAGUCGAACGGGGUUAUUGUAGCAAUACGGUAACCUAGUGGCGAACGGGUGAGUAACGCGUUGGUGACCUGCCCCAAAGAGGAGGAUAACGAACCGAAAGGUUCCCUAAUACUCCAUGUGAUCUUGGUUUUUAGAAAGCCUUGAUUAAAGUCGCAAGACGCUUUGGGAGGGACCUGUGUCCCGUCAGGUGGUUGGUGGGGUAACGGCCUACCAAGGCUAUGACGGGUAGGGGACCUGAGAGGGUGACCCCCCACAAUGGAACUGAAACACGGUCCAUACACCUACGGGUGGCAGCAGUAGGGAAUAUUGUUUAAUCUGCGAAAGCGGGAAACAGCAACGCCGCGUGUGUGAUGAAGGCCUUCGGGUUGUAAAACACUUUUCAGAGGGAUGAGGAAGGACAGUACCUUUGGAAUAAGCAUCGGCUAACUACGUGCCAGCAGCCGCGGUAACACGUAGGAUGCGAGCGUUAUCCGGAUUUAUUGGGCGUAAAGCGUGCGCAGGUGGUUUGGUAAGUUGGAUGUGAAAGCUCCCGGCUUAACUGGGAGAGGUCGUUCAAUACUACUAAACUCGAGAGUGGUAGAGGAAGGUGGAAUUCCGCGUGUAGUGGUGAAAUGCGUAGAUAUGCGGAGGAACACCAGUGGCGAAAGCGGCCUUCUGGACCAUUUCUGACACUCAUGCACGAAAGCUAGGGUAGCAAACGGGUUUUGAUACCCUGGUAGUC